rnacentral:rRNA from 1 species
UCGGGAAUUUUGGGCAAUGGGCGAAAGCCUGACCCAGCAACGCCGCGUGAAGGAUGAAGUAUUUCGGUAUGUAAACUUCGAAAGAAUAGGAAGAAUAAAUGACGGUACUAUUUAUAAGGUCCGGCUAACUACGUGCCAGCAGCCGCGGUAAUACGUAGGGACCAAGCGUUGUUCGGAUUUACUGGGCGUAAAGGGCGCGUAGGCGGCAAUUCAAGUCAUCUGUGAAAUCUCCGGGCUUAACUCGGAACGGUCAGAUGAUACUGCUUUGCUAGAGUGCAGAAGGGGCAAUCGGAAUUCUUCGGUGUAGCGGUGAAAUGCGUAGAUAUCAAGAGGAACACCUGAGGUGAAGACGGGUUGCUGGGCUGACACUGACGCUGAGGCGCGAAAGCCAGGGGAGCAAACGGGAUUAGAUACCCCCGUAGUCCCUGAGCGGGCUGGCAAGGCGCAU